rnacentral:snRNA from 1 species
GUGCUCGCCUUGGCAGCUGAUAUACUAAAACUGGAACGAUAGAGAGAUUAGCAUGGCCCCUGCACAAGGAUGACACACAAAUUUGUGAAGCAUUCCUUAUUUUU